CAACUCUCCAAUCUCAUUCUCAUUUUAUGAGUUUGAUCAGGUGCUGGGCAUUGCACCCAGCAUGGAGCCAACUAUGGUGCAUGAUGACCUGGUCAGCCAGGAUGAUGUGCUGCUGGCCCCUGAAUCCAGCAUGGGGGCUGAUGUGAGUCAGAGCAGGAGCUGAGUGGGAAGCAUAAAGUGACUCUGUUUUUGACACCAGUCCCAGAGCAGGCUGUGGAACAGGAGCAAUCGCAAAUUCUAACUCCCUACCUGGAAAAGCUGUUUGAUCCGUGCCCUGAGGAAUACCCCACUGCCAAGUCUGCAGCAAACCCGGUGGAGACAGAAGCCGCCCCAGAGCCCAACUAACACAGCUGCUACUGUGAAACAUCUCUACAAUUGGCAGUCCAGGCUGUUGAGCACAAUCAAGAAGAAGAGAAUUUUAGAAGAUCACUAGCUCCAGCGUUCAAAGCACCCAGCACCCAGUGAAUACUUUGGUCCAAGUUUUGGAAUGAAAAACAGACUAGAGUUGAGACAUCAGUGAAAGCAGGUGAAAGUGUACCAGGUACCACAAAGGACUCCAGUGUUCCUGAAGCACAGAGAGUGGUGCUACAGAAUUAAAGGAAAAGGAUGGCUCAGCUUUCCGUGGGUAACGGUAAAGAAGGUUAUGGGAAUGGAACAAAAUUUGUCAAUGACAUAGUCAGCACGGAUGGAAAACAAUAAAAGCAGAAAGCUUUGAGGCACUGAAAAAGAGCCGUAGUGUCUCUGAACAGUGACUCAAAGGCAGAAUGUUCCUGGAGUAAAGAGGCUCUGGCAGCUUUUGUGCUAGACGGGAGUUCAAAGCUGUACAUGGAAACUGAAUGCGCUGACCUUGGCUUACUGUACUUCCAUUGGCAAAUAGGGAUGUCUCCUUUCCUACAGAGUGACCAUGUAAUUGAAGGUGCUAAAAGGAACACAGAUGUUUCAGACUGCUGCUGACAGGAAAAAAAUACAUUAGAAGAUUUCAUACAUACAACUAUACCAAAUCUGGCCUGCUGCCGAAUUGGAGUCCUAGUUGAAGAUCCUGCCAGGGACAUGGAAUGCUGCCAAAAGACCCUGCAGAUCCAACAGCUCCAGAGUACCCUAUGUGGGAGUGUGUCUGUUGUGGAAAGCCAGCAUGGUCAGCUGGGAAGAUGCUGUGUGAAUAGUCCAUGCUGCAACAGGAAGUGGAAUUUCAAAUUUCCAGGGCCUUUGAACAGGGGAGGGGCACAUGCCUAUGUACCUGGAGGGCAGUGGAGUUCAAACUGUUGAUGGGCAUUGUGGGACACCACCUGGAGGCCACUUAGAGCAACAUAAGUAAGCACACUGUCUACAGUGGCACUACAUCACUCUAACUAUGUUGCAAAAAAGCUCUCUGCCACUUGUUGUCAGCAUAGCAGGGGAUUUAAAUCAGCAGGAGGAGCAUAGUUGUGUGUACACCUCCACUGUUUGGUUGACAAAAGCUGACUGUUGUCGCCAAUCUGGGUAGUGUAGACAAGGCCCUUGUUGCACACCUCAUUGUGAAAUGUAGAAACACUCAUGCCAUUGCUGAGAAGUUAAUUUUACCCCCAGCUAUUGUGCACUGAAUUGUUGGGCAAGUCAGCUACAAAACAAUUAAAAACAAUCCCUCUCUCCAACAAUACAAUACAAUACAGAGAAGAAUCUGCAAUAUCUCAGACUGCAAACAACUGAUUGUCUUUUAGCAAGCAACUGUUUUGCUUUACAAUCAGAUGAAUCUACAGAUGUAUCAAACUGUACUAUCUAGCCGAUUUUAUGUGAGGCAUCUAUGGGAAAGUGAUUUUCAAGAACAGUACUUGUUUACUGAGGAUUUGCCUAUUUCUGAUGAUGAUGAUGAUACAUUUAUUGCACUGGGUAAUUACUUGGAGUAGGUGGUAUAGCCAAUGAUUUUAGUUCCUUUAUUGUGUGAUGUUAUAAUUAACAUGUCAUAUAUAAUCAUUUGUAUGCUAAAUAGAGUUAAGUUGCAGGAUUAUAAAAGUAUAAGACUGAUCAGUAUGUAGAGGGAAUAAUCAUGUAUUGGGUAUCUAAGUAAGUAGGGCUGAAACUCAAGGCCUGGCUGAGGCCUGUAAGAUUUUAGCUUAGCCACACUAGGCCUGGGAGCUAAGAAAUGCUGAUAUAAGUAAGUGACCAAAGAAUAACCCGAUGCCCUAAGACUAUGGAAAAAGAUGUACCAAUGGGUGAUAUUGCAAAAAUUUAACAGUAAUUUUUUUUCUUACAAGAUACCCGGUAGUCACAUUUUUCUAACACAUGCCCUAACCUCAGGGUGCACAAUGUGCAUAAAUGCUAAUGAGAUAUAGUCAGAGUCACAUUAUAAAAAGGGGGUGCCCAGAACAGGAAAAUUGAGCUCCCUAUGGGAAAACUCCAUCAGGAACCAUCCCUCUACUGAUUAUCAAUCCAUGAGAGACUCAUCAGACCUUAACACAAUUGUUAAGGAUGUGGGUAUAACUAUAUUUGUAACUUCUGCAUAGGUCUGUAUCGAAUUACUAUAUGCUUCGGUAAUCAUAACUUUAAUUGUAACUCUAAUAAAACUUGUAAAAUAGACUAGCCUGUGUACUUGUGAUAAUAUGUGUGGUGACUACCCUUGGGCUUUACGUGUUCCUAGAAGCCCUAAAUUUGAAGCA